rnacentral:rRNA from 1 species
AUUGAACGCUGGCGGCAGGCUUAACACAUGCAAGUCGAACGAGUGGCGGACGGGUGAGUAAUGCUUGGGAAUCUAGCUUAUGGAGGGGGAUAACUACGGGAAACUGUAGCUAAUACCGCGUACCAUAGGAUGAGCCCAAGUGGGAUUAGGUAGGUGGUGAGGGAAAGGCUGACCAAGCCGACGAUCUCUAGCUGGUCUGAGAGGAGGACCAGCCACCCUGGGACUGAGACAGUGCCCAGACGCCUACGGGAGGCAGCAGUGGGGAAUAUUGCGCAAUGGGGGCAACCUGACGCAGCCAUGCCGCGUGAAUGUAGACGUCCUUCGGGUUGUAAAGUUCUUUCGGUAGCGAGGCGUUAUCUACAGAAGAAGCACCGGCUAACUCCGUGCCAGCAGCCGCGGUAAUUC